rnacentral:rRNA from 1 species
UACAGAGGUCUCAAGCGUUGUUCGGAUUCAUUGGGCGUAAAGGGUGCGUAGGCGGCGCGGUAAGUCGGGUGUGAAAUCUCGGGGCUUAACUCCGAAACUGCAUUCGAUACUGCCGUGCUUGAGGACUGGAGAGGAGACUGGAAUUUACGGUGUAGCGGUGAAAAUGCGUAGAUAUCGUAAGGAAGACCAGUGGCGAAGGCG